rnacentral:rRNA from 1 species
AGCAGCCGCGGUAAUUCCAGCUCCAAUAGCGUAUAUUAAAGUUGUUGCAGUUAAAAAGCUCGUAGUUGAACCUUAGGCCCGCGCGGGCGGUCCGUCCUCUGGGCGAGCACUGCUCCGUCGCGGGUCUCACCUUCUGGCGAGCGUAGAUGCCAUUUAUUUGGUGUCUGCGGGAACCAGGACCUUUACCUUGAAAAAAUUAGAGUGCUCAAAGCGGGCUCCGACGCUUGAAUACAUUAGCAUGGAAUAAUGAAAUAGGACGAUGGUUCUAUUUUGUUGGUUUCCGGGACCGUCGUAAUGAUUAAUAGGGAUAGUGGG